AAAUUAUACGAAGGGACCCAACACAGAAAAUUCAUUUUAUUGAAUUUUACAUUUAUGUGCAAGUUGGGCAAAGUGUCUUAUUUUUUAAGUAUUUCAAAGUAAAAUUACAUGUUAAUACGUAGUAUUAAUGGCGAGACUCCUGAGGGAGCAGUGCCAGUCGAAGACAGGGGCCCCAACACAGAAGCUGACAUAUAGUCAGCUUACAGCAAUGUGCCGGUUGGGGUGGCUGAGACGGCACCCUAGGAAAGCGAAGCCAUUCAAUACGAAGUAUUGUAUAAAUAGAGAACAGCAG
rnacentral:ncRNA from 1 species